CAGCUAGCUGGUGGGGUAACGGCUCACCAGGGCGACGACCGGUAGCUGGUCUGAGAGGACGAUCAGCCACACUGGGAUUGAGAACGGCCCAGACUCCUACGGGGGGCAGCAGUGAGGAAUUUUCGGCAAUGGGCGAGAGCCUGACCGAGCAACGCCGCGUGCAGGAGGACGCUUUUCGGAGUGUAAACUGCUUUUCGCUGGGAAGAGCGAGGACGGUACCAGCGGAAGAAGCCCCGGCUAACUACGUGCCAGCAGCCGCGGUAAGACGUAGGGGGCGAGCGUUGUCCGGAGUUACUGGGCGUAAAGCGCCCGCAGGCGGUCUGGCGCGUUGGGGGUGACAGUCGGCGGCUUAACUGCCGAAGGACUCACAAGACGGCUGGACUGGAGGGCCUCAGAGGGACAUGGAAGUCCGGGUGGAGCGGUGAAAUGCGUAGAGAUCCGGAGGAACACCAAAGGCGAAGGCAGUGUCCUGGGAGGCACCUGACGCUCGGGGGCGAAGGCCAGGGGAGCGAACGGGAUUAGAUACCCCGGUAGUCCUGGCGGUAAACGAUGACCACUAGGUGUGCGGCGUAUCGACCCGCUGCGUGCCGACGCAAACGCAAUAAGUGGUCCGCCUGGGGAGUACGGUCGCAAGAUUAAAACUCAAA
rnacentral:rRNA from 1 species